rnacentral:rRNA from 1 species
UCUCUAUGCGGUGUCAGCAGCCGCGGUAAAACGUAGGUCCCGAGCGUUGUUCGGAUUCACUGGGUGUAAAGGGCGCGUAGGUGGUUGUCUGUGUCUCAUGUGAAAACUCAGGGCUCAACUCUGAGAUUGCGUGGGAAACUAGGCAGCUAGAGGACGGUAGAGGGGAGUGGAAUUCCCGGUGUAGCGGUAAAAUGCGUAGAUAGUCGGGAGGAACACCGGUGGCGAAGGCGGCUCUCUGGGCCGAUCCUGACGCUGAGGCG